AGAUUUAAUAUUGAGGGAGAGUAGUUAAAGACAUGGGAGAGAUUUAGCAGAGGAGAAUGGGCGGUUUGGAUGUGGGAGGAGGAAAAUAUCUUAGAAUUUUUAAUUAAAAUGAUUGACUUGGUAUAAUCGGUUCAAGCUCGUGGCCGUCCGCGUUGAAGUACCCGAUUUUCUUUAGAACGAAGGAUGUAUUAAGUUAAAUUUUCGUUGGACUUUUAUUGAAUGUAUCGGACAUUAAAAUUUUAAUUAUGGGUCUUGAUUCUUUUAUUAUACAUAUAUAUAUUUUUUAUAUA